GGAAGUAAAAGUCGUAACAAGGUCUCCGUAGGUGAACCUGCGGAAGGAUCAUUACUGAUUUAGCGAACCGAGCGUUAGCGAGGUUUUGCGAUCACUUAUAUUUAAAACCCACUCUUUGAACGUAUAAAAUUUUAUGUAUUAAUGAUAAAAAUAAAAGAUCACUUUCAACAACGGAUCUCUUGGCUCUCGCAUCGAUGAAGAACGUAGCGAAGUGCGAUAAGUAAUGUGAAUUGCAGUAUUCCGUGAAUCAUCGAAUCUUUGAACGCAUAUUGCACUUUCUGGUAUUCCGGAAAGUAUGCCUGUUUGAGGGUCAGUUAAAUAAAAAAUCGGUGUUGUUGCUGCCUUUCGUGGUGACGCGUCGGAAUUGAGUUGUCUUACCUUCGGUUAAGUGACUUAAAAUUUUGCAUGAUUUUUGAACGUAUUUAAAUUGCUUACGUACGUUUGAGAUAUCGAAUACUUUUAUUAGGUUCAGUCAUCCUCAUGACUCGCGCCUAUAAUUUUUCAUUAAAUGACCUCAAAUCAGGUAAGAAUACCCGCUGAACUUAAGCAUAUCAAUAAGCGGAGGA
rnacentral:rRNA from 1 species